CGCAACGCGAAGAACCUUACCUACUCUUGACAUCUAGCGAAGACUGCAGAGAUGCGGUUGUGCCUUCGGGAACGCUAAGACAGGUGCUGCAUGCCUGUCGUCAGCUCGUGUUGUGAAAUGUUGGGUUAAGUCCCGCAACGAGCGCAACCCUUAUCCUUAGUUGCCAGCACGUAAUGGUGGGAACUCUAGGGAGACUGCCGGUGAUAAACCGGAGGAAGGUGGGGACGACGUCAAGUCAUCAUGGCCCUUACGAGUAGGGCUACACACGUGCUACAAUGGUAUGUACAGAGGGAGGCAAGCUGGCGACAGUGAGCGGAUCUCUUAAAGCAUAUCGUAGUCCGGAUCGCAGUCUGCAACUCGACUGCGUGAAGUCGGAAUCGCUAGUAAUCGCAAAUCAGAAUGUUG
rnacentral:rRNA from 1 species